rnacentral:rRNA from 1 species
CAGCCGCCGCGGUAAUACGUAGGGUGCGAGCGUUAAUCGGAAUUACUGGGCGUAAAGCGUGCGCAGGCGGUUAUAUAAGACAGAUGUGAAAUCCCCGGGCUCAACCUGGGACCUGCAUUUGUGACUGUAUAGCUAGAGUACGGUAGAGGGGGAUGGAAUUCCGCGUGUAGCAGUGAAAUGCGUAGAUAUGCGGAGGAACACCGAUGGCGAAGGCAAUCCCCUGGACCUGUACUGACGCUCAUGCACGAAAGCGUGGGGAGCAAACAGGAUUAGAUACCCGUGUAGUCCCUGUCUCUUAUAC